GCUCGGGUAGUAUAGCUCGGUCUAGUAUAUGCGGCUGUCGCCCGUAGGACCCGGGUCCGAAUCCCGGCCCGAGCGCCA
rnacentral:tRNA from 1 species